rnacentral:lncRNA from 1 species
CGAAAGACCUUUUCUGAUCAUCCAUGGGAAGAAUUGUAGAAGAUGUAGAUGAAGCAGCUGUGGAGGACUCACCAUUCUGAUGGAUAAGGAGGAACAUAAGCAGAACCACACAGGAUGCAAUGUGACAGAGGAGAGGCAUCGAUGAGGUGGUUACCAGCCAAGGAGCACCCAACAGCACUGGGGAGCACUGAAGAGUACCGAGGAGCACCAAGGAGCAC